rnacentral:lncRNA from 1 species
AUGGUUCAGAACUUUGCUUUUGUCCAAGGUGAGUUUAAUGGCAGCACCAUAAGUUUGCUAGGAAGAAAUUCAAUUUUCAACAAGGCAAGGGAGCUGCCUGUGGUUGGUGGAAGCGGGGCUUUCAGGUUUGCUAGGGGUUAUGCUGAGGCAACAACUCACACUUUUGAUGGCACCACCACCGGUGAUGCUACGGUGGAGUACAAUAUCUAUGUGUUGCAUGAUU